rnacentral:ncRNA from 1 species
CAAACAGCAUUGAUAAAGGAAUAGUAGUAAAGGAACAAGAGCUAUAGAGAGAUAGCGGUUGGUGAAAGCUAUCCUUGUACUUUAUGAACUCGCCUUUGAGCUGCAAAUCUGAAAGUGCAGUAGGAUUUGCCGUUUCUCCGCGUUAAGGAGCUUGAGUGAGUGUACAUGACACUAACCUGGGUGGUACCGCGGGUGGAUAUAUAAGCCUCUCGUCCCUAUU